GGUUAACCCCAUGCAAGUCGAGGGGGUACCAAUAUUCAAAGCUUGCUUUGACUGAUGACGACCGGCGGAUGGGUGAGUAACACGUUCCCACCCUACCGUAUUACACGGGGAUAGCCUUUCGAAAGAAAGAUUAAUACCCGAUGGGUGUAAAGAGAUCACCUGAUUUUUUUACUAAAGAAUUUAUCGGUAUACGAUGGGGAUGCGUUCCAUUAGAUCGUUGGUAGGGUAACGGCCUACCAAGUCAACGAUGGAUAGGGGUUCUGAGAGGAAGAUCCCCCACAUUGGAACUGAGACACGGUCCAAACUCCUACGGGAGGCAGCAGUGAGGAAUCUUGGUCAAUGGGCGCAAGGCCUGAACCAGCCACGUAGCGUGAAGGAAGACUGCCCUUAGGGUUGUAAACUUCUUUUAUAAGGGAAUAACGUCAGUAACGUGUUACUGAUUGCAUGUACCUUAUGAAUAAGGAUCGGCUAACUCCGUGCCAGCAGCCGCGGUAAUACGGAGGAUCCGAGCGUUAUCCGGAUUUAUUGGGUUUAAAGGGUGCGUAGGCGGGAGCGGAAGUCAGCUGUGAAAUUUUAUGGCUCAACCAUAAACUUGCAGUUGAAACUCCGUUUCUUGAGUACACAUGAGGUGGGCGGAAUUUGUGGUGUAGCGGUGAAAUGCUUAGAUAUCACGAGGAACUCCGAUUGCGAAGGCAGCUCACUGGGGUGUAACUGACGCUAAUGCACGAAGGUGUGGGUAUCAAACAGGAUUAGAUACCCUGGUAGUCCACACAGUAAACUAUGAAUACUCGCUGUUUGCGAUAUACAGUAAGCGGCUACGCGAAAGCA
rnacentral:rRNA from 1 species